ACUUUUUUUAUAUUUAUUAUUUUUUUCUUUAUGCUGUCAAUUUUUGCAAUGUUUUUUUGUUUUUCAAUUUAAGCCAAAAUUUAUGAAUAUGGUGUGAUUAUAUGGAAAAGUUUAAAAAUGUGUAUGAGAAGCAAAAAACGUUAAAUAUGAAAUUUUCGUGUUUCUGCCUGGGGUGAAGUCGUUAAAAAUUCAUUUCUUAGCCAAUUUUCAACCGAUUUUCUUGAAAAAUUUCAAGUACAUGCCUAAAAUCAAAUUGGAAAGGAUAAUAAUUGAAAAUUGACGACGCAAGAAUGAUUGCAAUGAGAGCACCGUGAAAUAUUAUCUUCCCUCAAAACGAAAAAAAAAAAAACGACUCGCCAUUGAGACUAUAGAGAGGUCCAAACGUAUUGAAAGAGGAAAGGAAAAAUUUAACUUCAUGAGUACAUUAACAAUAACCUGCAUGAAUACCAGUUCACGGCAGGUAUUUGAAAAAAUAUUUUCUGCAAGCUUCUGACGGCGAAUCGCGCUCUUAGCCAUAAAGUCCCAAAAGGUUCCAAGCUCAACAGAGGAGUUCAAAGCAACAGGCUAUGAGUUGGUAAGGAAUAUGAACCUAAUCCUCUCCAAUAUAAAGUCUGGUUUCUGUUUUAAAAAUAAAAAAAAAAUUAUUGAAUCAACAAAAAAAAUUAAAAUUUGGAACUGGAAAUGAUUCAAGGGUUGGAGUUAUUAAUCCCUUUGGCGUAGCAGGGAACUAAUUCCACUUAGAGAGUUUGAGUUAGUUCUCGCUCCGUGGGAACGAAAUAAUUUUUAGUAAACUGGAUUUAGUUCCUAUGCUAGAAGGAAUACCGGCGAUUUUAGAUUUCCAUUUUACAGAAGAGCUGCAACACAAAAUGACACUUACUAUAUUGUAACGAUGAAUUACCGAACUACUUUUAAGAUAAAAGUCUGAACACACUACCUGCUACAGUAAAGGUAGAAAUGUGAACGGACCUUUAGUAAUUAAGAAACUACCCUCUGAACGCAUCCAAAGAAAUUCCCUCGACUGCUGAAUAUCCCAAAAUAUCCCACUGGACUGGAAGUAUGAAGCGCCCCCUCUUGGAAAGGAAGCUUCGAGAAGCAAAGACGAGAACCUUCGAAGACA